GUGGGGAAUCUUGCGCAAUGGGCGAAAGCCUGACGCAGCAACGCCGCGUGGGGGAUGAAGGCUCUCGGGUUGUAAACCCCUUUCAGCAGGGACGAAUCAAGACGGUACCUGCAGAAGAAGUCCCGGCUAACUACGUGCCAGCAGCCGCGGUAACACGUAGGGGGCAAGCGUUGUCCGGAUUUAUUGGGCGUAAAGAGCUCGUAGGUGGCUGAGUAAGUAGGAUGUCAAAUCCCCAGGCUCAACCUGGGAUCCCAUCCGAUACUGCUCUGGCUAGAGUCCGGUAGGGGAGCGUGGAAUUCCUGGUGUAGCGGUGAAAUGCGCAGAUAUCAGGAGGAACACCAGCGGCGAAGGCGGCGCUCUGGGCCGGUACUGACACUGAGGAGCGAAAGCGUGGGUAGCAAACAGGAUUAGAUACCCCGGUAGUCC
rnacentral:rRNA from 1 species